ensembl:snoRNA small nucleolar RNA SNORA5
UGCAGCUUUGUCAAAUUCAGUGCUUCCUCCUUCCUGGACGCCACUGGCCAAAAUGGCUGCCACAGUAAAGGUGUAGUUCAUGGGCCCCAUGGUGCUGGAAAAUGGCCUGUGGGGAUAAAUAUGUACUACACACAGUA